rnacentral:snoRNA from 14 species
GUGCAGUUUCUCUCAUGGUUUUCGACUGCUGACCGUAAAUUUUCCGGUCAGAGGUCGUUAGAGAACUGCUAUAUAAGCCUAGCUCGAGAUGCGUGUGCUGGUUUGCUUCCAAUGCGAACUGGUUCCUUUUCUCCUCGGGACAAUU